rnacentral:tRNA from 2 species
UCCUGGUUAGCUCAGUUGGUAGAGCGCUCCACUGGAAAUGGAGGGGUUCCUUGUUUGAUACCAGGACCAGAAG